rnacentral:ncRNA from 1 species
GAGGGCAGGCCCCUCGGUGAGGGUUUUUAGGAAAACUCACCAAACCACUUCUAUGAUGCAUCUGCGGUAACAAAGGUGUGUGAAGCGAUAGAAGAAAAGGCUGUUUAAAUGGUCAGGU